GAUAGUACCUUACUACUUGGAUAACCGUGGUAAUUCUAGAGCUAAUACAUGCUAAAAACCCCAACUUCGGGAGGGGUGUAUUUAUUAGAUAAAAAACCAAUGCCCUUCGGGGCUCCUUGGUGAUUCAUGAUAACUUCUCAGAUCGCAUGGCUUUACGCCGGCGACGGUUCAUUCAAAUUUCUGCCCUAUCAACUUUCGAUGGUAAGGUAUUGGCUUACCAUGGUUUCAACGGGUAACGGGGAAUUAGGGUUCGAUUCCGGAGAGGGAGCCUGAGAAACGGCUACCACAUCCAAGGAAGGCAGCAGGCGCGCAAAUUACCCAAUUCCGAUACGGAGAGGUAGUGACAAUAAAUACUGAUACAGGGCUCUUUUGGGUCUUGUAAUUGGAAUGAGUACAAUUUAAACCUCUUAACGAGGAACAAUUGGAGGGCAAGUCUGGUGCCAGCAGCCGCGGUAAUUCCAGCUCCAAUAGCGUAUAUUAAAGUUGUUGCAGUUAAAAAGCUCGUAGUUGAACCUUUGGCCUGGCUGGCAGGUCCGCCUCACCGCGUGCACUUGUCCGGCCGGGCCUUUUCUUCUGGAGAACCGCAUGCCCUUCACUGGGUGUGUUGGGGACCAGGACUUUUACUUUGAAAAAAUUAGAGUGUUCAAAGCAGGCCUUUGCUCGAAUACGUUAGCAUGGAAUAAUAGAAUAGGACGUGCGGUCCUAUUUUGUUGGUUUCUAGGACCGCCGUAAUGAUUAAUAGGGACAGUCGGGGGCAUCAGUAUUCAAUUGUCAGAGGUGAAAUUCUUGGAUUUAUUGAAGACUAACUACUGCGAAAGCAUUUGCCAAGGAUGUUUUCAUUAAUCAGUGAACGAAAGUUAGGGGAUCGAAGACGAUCAGAUACCGUCGUAGUCUUAACCAUAAACUAUGCCGACUAGGGAUCGGGCGGUGUUUCUAUUGUGACCCGCUC
rnacentral:rRNA from 1 species